rnacentral:rRNA from 1 species
UACAUAGGUCCCAAGCGUUGUUCGGAUUCACUGGGCGUAAAGGGUGCGUAGGUGGCCAGGUAAGUUCGGUGUGAAAGCUCGGAGCUUAACUCCGAAAUGGCAUUGAAUACUAUCUGGCUAGAGGGUCGGAAGGGAGACUGGAAUUCUCGGUGUAGCAGUGAAAUGCGUAGAUAUCGAGAGGAACACCAGUGGCGAAGGCGAGUCUCUGGACGACUCCUGACACUGAGGCACGAAAGCCAGGGGAGCAAACAGG